AUCGAAACUAGAAAAAAGCCCGAUUAAAUAAUUCAAUCGUUCGUCUUUCUUUUCCUCGAUUCACCAUCUUCAAAUAAUUCACCCUCAACAAUAUAUAAAUAGCACGCCAACCCUCAAAAGUUCAUAAUACGCACUGUGCUAUUCCAUUUUAAUAGAAGCUAUUAUAAUCCAAGGAUCAAGGAUCCAUCACCUCUUUCACUGUCAUCAAGAUCUAGUACAAAAUUUAAUAUCUGCAUGCAAAGUGAGAAAAUUCUUCCUUCUUUUUGUGUUACUUUUUAUUUUGCUUAGACUAUGUAGUAUAUAGUGGUUUAUAAUGAUGCACUUUUAAGAUAAUCGGUGAAAUAACAAUUUUUUGAUUCGUACGAAUUUAGAUUAGAAGAAUUAAGUAUAUACGUAUUUAAUUUGCUUCAUGAAUUUCCCUUUUUUUCCUUAUUUGGCGGUGAUUUUCUAGGGUUUUGCCGUUUUGGUUAAUGCGUUGAAUAUACGUUUUAUUAAUAAUCGGAAAUGAUUGUUCUUCUAAAUUGGAAUCUAAAUUAUUUAACUGAUGGAUGGAAAGUAUCGGUAAUCACCUUACCAGAGGGACGAUCAUAAGGUGUAAGUGCGAGUGCUUUCGUCCUACUGACUAUGAAGUCUGCCGGCCUUUGCUGUCUGACUUGUGGUUUCCUCUUUUUAUCUAACUGAUUAUUAUUUUGGGGGUUUUACUCUGUCCUCUUUUAGUUGGAUUUCCUUAUCAUGUUUAAGUUGAAGAGUGUUCGAAAUUUGCUCAAGGCAAAAAUUUUAAUAGAAAGAACAAGAAAGUAAUUAUGGUUGAUAUGUUUAGGAGUUUGAGCUGAUACAUGUUUCUCAUGUAGAAGUUAGUGAAAUUUGUCUACUCACGUGGUAUGUUGGAUGAAGUAUACCACCUGCAUUUUGUUCAAUUUUAUGGUCACCACAUGGAAUGUUAUGAGCCACACAUGGACCGACUGUGCUGUAAUGUGGUUGAUUAUGGAUUCAGUGAACUUGUAACAUCGCUGGUAUCCCUGAUAUGUUCAUUGAGUUGCCUUUUUUAAAAUAAAAUUUCCUCAGCUUGUUCAGUACCAGUGAUAUUGUCAUUUAGACGUAGUAAAUCUCGUGGUUCUUAUUUUGUGGAAUUAGGAAUGAAGAGGACAACAUAUUUCACGAAAGAUAGCCUCUCCAGAAUGUACAUUUGGUCUUCUGGAGAAAAUUUUGAGUAUUUCAGAAGUACGUCCACUUCCUUGAAGGUUCUCUGCUCCGAGGAUUGAUAAUUCGUACCUUACCAGUCUGCAAAUUGCAGAGCAUUCCAAAAGCUGAAAUUGCUUGAAGUCAGUUUUCAAUGCGCAAAAGCUUAUGCGGAUAUUUGCAAGGAGAUGAGAAGCUGAAUUGGAAAACGAGAAUUUUGUAGAAAAUGAUUAAAUUUGUGAUACUGAACUUCAGGUUGAGUUUUCCUCCAACUGAAAUUUUUGGCACUGCUUUUCCCUGAAUUUUUUGCUGCAAAUGUGAAGUGAAAACCCUGUUCGUUAUCUUGGAUAACUUUGUGCAAAUGCAAAUUGUAUAUGAAUUUACAUGUAGCUGUUUUGAAUUUGGACUUAUCGUGUUGGAUGUUAGACUGCAUAGGACUGGAUAAGAUCAAUAAGUAUUGAACUUUGCCCAUGACCGCUACACUAUGUCAAACAUGUUACUGGCAAUGAAGUGGAAUUGUCGUGGUGAUUAUGAUGAUUUGCCAAAUGUAAUUAGAGAUUGUAAUAUGAUUGAUUUCAAUUGAAUAAUGAAAGGUAGACCAUAGAAAGAAGCCUUCUUGUAACAAGAUUUAAUGAUUUCUACAUGGAAGAUUAUGUCAACUUCCGACUCGAACAAUCAGCAGAAUGA
rnacentral:lncRNA from 1 species